GUAGAUAUUUGCUGCUAGCAGUCGCCAAUCGGCUACAUGCUAUUGUAGGCAGUUUCAUCCUACCAUCCCCAUCCAUAAACUUAUCAAGCUCAGUCUUGAAGCCAGUUAGGAUUUUUGCCCCCCACAGCUC